AAAUAUUAGUACACUUAGACACAUUUUAAAUAGCAACAAAACAUCCACCCACUCAUAUAUUUGUCACCCUCCUUCAGCUAAGUGUUUAAAUUAUUCAAAAAUUUUUCGCCCCCGAAAAGCUUUGACGUAAAUUUGGGGUUUCCCCCGCUCUUUCCCGUAACUGAUGUCUCCAAGGACACUUUAUCAUGACUCGCGAGGCUCAAGCAAUUGUUGCAAAUGGAGCUCAGCGGCUAAGUGGUUUUAUUUUAAAUCUUUCACGUUCAGGACAGAGUCACAAAAAAAAUUGAAGCGUGAAAAUCUGCAGCCUUAUGACAACAAGUUGCUUUCAAAAACUCAACAGUCGCGACAAGUUCUCAAUUGUUUGGUAAAUGUCAGUCUUCAUUUGUCAGCUACAUCCCAAGUUGGCUUAAGUGGCUUCGUUUUCGGGCGGAGGAUACAGAUAUAGCGGAUAUAAAGCGAUGUGCAUCUUGAGUAUUGUUUUGACUAAGCUUUAAAGGUUCUCCUCCAUUUAAAAUUACAAUUGAAAUUGAAAGACUUCCAGCGAAACACUCAAAGUCGAUUACUCUUGGGCGCAGCUAAUACGAAUCCAAUAAAUAUUUAGUAAGGCUUUUCAA